AAAUUUAGCCUAACAGGGGAUACACCUUGAUCAUGAAGGAGGUUUUCCCAGAGUGAGGCUCAUCCAUUGAACUGUGGUUGUGCUGACUCCUGCGAUUUCCCCACAUGCAGGAAACCCGACUGCAUAAUUUGUGGUAGUGGGUGAACAAAAAGGUCUUUACCUGGCACCUA